GCGCUGGCUGGGCGGUCCGGCCUCACGGUCGGUACUGCUUCGGUUGGGGUUCACCUUCUGGUGAGUCUGCAUGUCCUUCACUGGGUGUGUUUGGGGAACUAGGACUUUUUACUUUGAAAAAAUUAGAGUGUUUAAAGCAGGCAAUCCGCUUCAAUACAUUAGCAUGGAAUAAUGGAGUAGGACCCUGGUUCUAUUUUGUUGGUUUCUAAGACCGGAGCA
rnacentral:rRNA from 1 species